rnacentral:rRNA from 1 species
AACGAACGCUGGCGGCAGGCUUAACACAUGCAAGUCGAGCGCCCCGCAAGGGGAGCGGCAGACGGGUGAGUAACGCGUGGGAACGUACCCUUUUCUACGGAAUAACGCAUGGAAACGUGUGCUAAUACCGUAUACGCCCUUAGGGGGAAAGAUUUAUCGGAGAAGGAUCGGCCCGCGUUGGAUUAGCUAGUUGGUGGGGUAAAGGCCUACCAAGGCGACGAUCCAUAGCUGGUCUGAGAGGAUGAUCAGCCACAUUGGGACUGAGACACGGCCCAAACUCCUACGGGAGGCAGCAGUGGGGAAUAUUGGACAAUGGGCGCAAGCCUGAUCCAGCCAUGCCGCGUGAGUGAUGAAGGCCUUAGGGUUGUAAAGCUCUUUCACCGGUGAAGAUAAUGACGGUAACCGGAGAAGAAGCCCCGGCUAACUUCGUGCCAGCAGCCGCCGUAACAC